AAACCAACAGGGAUUGCCUUAGUAGCGGCGAGUGAAGCGGCAAUAGCUCAAAUUUGAAAUCUGGCACCUUCGGUGUCCGAGUUGUAAUUUGAAGAAGGUAUCUUUGGUUUUGGCUCUUGUCUAUGUUCCUUGGAACAGGACGUCACAGAGGGUGAGAAUCCCGUGCGAUGAGAUGCCCAAUUCCAUGUAAAGUUCCUUCGACGAGUCGAGUUGUUUGGGAAUGCAGCUCUAAGUGGGUGGUAAAUUCCAUCUAAAGCUAAAUAUUGGCGAGAGACCGAUAGCGAACAAGUACUGUGAAGGAAAGAUGAAAAGAACUUUGAAAAGAGAGUGAAAAAGUACGUGAAAUUGUUGAAAGGGAAGGGCUUGAGAUUAGACUUGGAAUUUUCCAUUUAUGGAGCUUUCCGGGCCAGCAUCAGUUUGGAUGGCAGGAUAAUUGCGUUGGAAAGUAGCACCACUUCGGUGGUGUGUUAUAGACUUCGUCGAUACUGCCUAUCUAGACUGAGGACCGCGUCUUUGACUAGGAUGCUGGCGUAAUGAUCUUANNNNNN
rnacentral:rRNA from 1 species